AGGCUCCACAAGUCACCUUUGGGUUAAUUGUCAAUGGCAUUCAAAGAAAUCUGGCUAUAUGCUUAUAAAAUGUUGAAAUAUAUACACACAAAAGUAGAAUUGUUCAUGAACAUAACUUAGCAUGCAGUUAUGUGAAACCAAUAAUCCUCCCGAACACGAUAAUGGAAAGCCAACAGAAAAUCCAUCAAUUACAAUUUGAGUGAACCAGGAUGCACUCCUAAAUUGUUGGAAGGACUUGUUUUAUGCUUCUUGAGACCCCAGUGUAUAGAAAUGAAAAGGAAAAGAUGAAAAAGAAGAGUUAGAUAAAAUCUGGGACACUGCUUAUUCUAAGCAUCCCUUUAAAAGGCCAGAAGUUUCAAGUAGACUCAGCCAGGCUCUCCUUGGAGACUCGUGAGGCUAAGUUCAAGAUGCCCCUUAACUGAAGAAUGGGUACAGAAAAUGUGAUACAUUUACACAAUGGAGUACUACUCAGCAGAAAAAAACCAAAGGAAUCUUGAAAUUCGAAGACAAAUGGAUGGAACUAGAAGAAACCAUUUUGAAUGAGAAACUGGAGAUCUUUAAGACCAGGUUUUCCUAGGCUUGAGCUUGAACAACCACAACAAAAUUGUCUCUAUCGAAGACUGGAAGCAACCCAGGCUUCGAGUCCCCUUCUCUUUAGGAAAGGAUCUGAUAACCUGAUCAUAACUAAAUCUGUGUCAGCUAUCCCUUCUUUCAUGAGGUUGUAUAAAUUGUAAAAUGACUGGGGGCUUAGUCCUUUCUUUCCCGCAGUUUUGUCCACACUAAACAAAUCUAUUUUAUUUUACUGAGUUCCUUUAAAAUAUAGGAAAACUAAGAUAGUGUACCAUUAGUGCCUGGCAAAGAACACACAGCUUGCUGACCUAGACACACAGUCUGGAUUCAGUUCUUGAUCCUGGGGGUUUGUAGCAUAGUUAAAAUCUCAGCUCAGCUACUUAUGAACUUAGUGGGGAGAUACUUACCUCUCACAUUCCUUGGUGAUACUCAUGAUGAUAAUGAUUAGCUCCUGUCAAGAAUUCAGAGUUCAGAAGGAAGCAUUUAUGAAAAGCAGUGGAAGAUUCCAACAGCAAGGUUCCACGGGUGGUAAGUAAACACUGCUCACCUCUCAUCCCGUUUCACAAGCAUGAUCAUGUCACUCGUCUAAAUGAAUAUGUCCCGAACACCAUAAGGAUGAACAAUGAACAUCUGAAGCAACUAUUUUAUUUUGUUGCUGUUGUCUUGUGUAGAAUUAACUAAUACGAUCUGUAUUGUGAACUCGAAACGUGAAAGUAAAUCAUUUCAAACAAUUAUCUAGCGCUGACCACACUGCUCAGCAGGUGAAGGCACUUGCUGCCAAUCCUGACUCCCUGAGUUUGAUUCCCAGAAUCACGUGGUAGAAGGCGAGUCCUGGCUCCCACAAGUUGUCCUGUGACCUCCACAUAAACACUGUAUCAUGCUCAUGCAGAUGCACAGAUACACAAAAUAAACAAAUGUAAUAACUUUUUAAAGAUACUCAACACAAUUUUAAUGUUUGAGAUGUGUUAUUCUAAGGACUCUAAACAGCCCAUUCUGUUUGUCGCAUAACUCUGUGGGUAAGUCUCUCUGUGAGAUGCAUCUUGUAGUUGAGAAAACUGUGGCAUAGAGAAAGUGAAGAAUCUUAAUUAAAUUCACAUGGGUGGCAAGUCAUAGACUGCCAGCCGCUGUAUGUAAAGUGUGGACUGUUAAACACAUCACUACAGAUUUUUCUUACAAUACAAAUAGUACUGAGAUUAGUCAUGGAGUAAUUGAAAACACUAAUUGAGUCAAGAGUGGUUGAAGACAGAACUCCUAUGAUUAUGAACCUGUAAAGGGAGACAACUACUUUGAGAUACCCCAUUAACAAGCUCGCCUAAAUCAAAACAUGUGCCUCACCCAUGAUUGAUCAAUUUCAUUCCUAGGUGUGUUCCCAUAAAAACCCAAAACUGUUUACAUUAGAUCAAAAGGGAAAAAAAAGCUCCCUUAAGGAAAUAAUGUUGUAUUCUGUUUAUAUAAUGAUAUAUUAUAGAUCUAUAUUAAUAAAUCAAGUAGUGUCAUAUACAUUCAUAUAGGGGCUUAGUUUCCCAGGCAUAACAGUGAGCAAAAUAACCCAGCAACAAACAGUACUUUCUAUACAAUGCUUCUAAACAGUUCAGAAACAUGAAUCAUUAGGCUGUGCUGACAAAACUUAAAUAUUGAUUGUCAGAGGGGGGUGCACACAUGUGGCGGUAGGGUAUACAUGAGAAGAAGCAAGAGUCUGGGCUUUUCAGGGUGAUCACACACAGGUGGACAUGAACAUCAGAUUGCUCUCAGGAACUUGGUGCACAGUAGUUCCAGGACCUUAGCAUUCCACCACCCUCUCGUCUCAAAACAAGCCAUGUUCCUUAUUUUCACAAGUGAUUCCAGGUUGUCCUGUGGGUUAUCAUAAUAUCAAACAGUAAUUUGCUUCAUUGGCCUUGAAUUCUCAAAAAGAAUAUCAAAAACCAGAAGCAGAUUUUUUUUUUGCAUGAAAUGGUUAAGUGAGCUGAUUUCUCCCCUUGCCACAGCCAGCAUCCAAUCAGGCAAUUCUGCUUGGCUCAAGGGCGGUGGGGUUAGGCAAAGCAUCCAAGAAUGGAGUCAGUGUUUUAUGAUCUGCCCCAAGCCACAUGAUCCUGCACUAAAUCAAUAAAAAUCAUCCACAGACUUUUGCACUGACUUUAAUAAACUAGCUCUUCUAGGAGUCUCCUAGGCAGACAAGGAACAGCUUGUCACUGGGCCGAGGAACAUCUUGCAAAGAACAGUUCUCAUUGUUCAGUUUCAGCCUGGUUGAUGAAUAAAUGACUUCACAAGUCCAUAGAAUGCAAGUGGAGAUAGAUGGGUUGACUUUGCACUUGAGAGUGCUUUAAACUUUGCUUUCUAAGAAGGGAACUCUGGAGCGUAAUGUUACUAAGCACCAGUCAUAUCUAGUUCAUUAGUUCCUAUCACUGAGAGCAGGAAGAAGUAGAAUUCUGUCUGUUGACUUAGAUACUACACAUAUCUCUUCGUGCAGUUGAAUCAAAGAUGUUUUAAUGUCUGAUUUUUAGGAAAAACCACUGAUGAAAUGCAGCUUAGGUUUAGUAAAUCUUUAUUGACCAUUUACUGAUCAUUGAAAUGUAUAUGAGAGCUACAUUUUGUAGAUGGAAACACUGAGUUAGCUGUUUUGCAUAAUAUUCUAUUAUGACAGAGUCAGAAUUUGUGGCAAGUAGUUCUAACCUUGAGAAAAACUCUGUGGGUUUCUGCUUAACUAUAGUUACCUUCUUAAAGUGCAACAAUCAUACAGUAGUUCUAGUUAUGUACCUGCCUUUAGUAAAGUAUUUAAACUUGGGAAGGUUACUUCACAGCUUCAGCUCCUGUCUGUUGCUCUGAAUAGCAAACCCCCCACAGUAGAGUGUCUCCAAAAUGUUGUGGUCUUUGUUCCUAUCAUGUUUAUCUCCAAGAUGUGUUCCUUCCUAUUUCCUGUAAUAGCACAAAGAGAACCACAUUAAAACCAAAGGCAGCUUCAUUUGAACUAGGAAUGUGUUGGGAAAUUAUAAUUCGAACCACACAAUCUAUUCUUUUCUCUAAUACGAUUAUUUCAAAAUGCCCAUUCUCAUAGAGAAGGAUGGAAAUGAAAGGCUUGCCUUGGGUAACCAAGGCCAGAUUCUGAAAAUUUCAUUCAGCUGAGACAUACGAUAUGCCAAGCAACCCAAGAAUGGGUAGACACAAUAAUGCUGAUGUUCAAAGAAAUUUAGUAUGUGAAUUUCUAUUAGAAAGGUAUUAGUAUUAUUUAGAUCAUAUGGAUGUAGAAAGACAGUCUUGAACCAUGAUUGGUUUACAGGAUCAUGUUGCAAUUUUGAGAAUUUCGGUGUGUGUUUUACUACAUGUUUGCUAUGGAUGAUGGUUACUCACCUAAAUAGAUCGGAUUGCAUAUUUCCUUUGCAUAUUUCCCAAUGGAGAAGUUAUUCAUUUCCAUAAAACCUUAGAGUUAUGUGGCUCACGUACCAGAAUGAUAUUGUUAAUAUGUAACUCUUGAUUUCAUACAGUUAAGAAAAUGAUCUUCACUGCUUGCCGUUUGAUGAAUCCAAAAAUGUUCUUUGUCUUAUUCUUUGUUCACUUACUUCAAAAUUAACCAUAAGAAUUUAAAAAAAAUGGCCUUUUUAGUACUUGAGUAUUUGAGUAUGUGCAAAUACCAAUUUGAGUAUAUGCAAAUUCUAACUGAGCAUGUACUGUCUAUAAAUAUCAGUGAUAUGAUUUUGGGUAAUAAGAGUAACUACAAGAUGCCAGGAAAUCAUAAUAAAAGAAAUGCAUGUGUCUGUAGAGCUAUGAAUAUCUGUCUUAAAUAUCAUAGUAGAGAUUCCAAGAAGAUUCCUACAAGGGAAAGAUUGACAGGGAAAGUUAUAAGAAUGAGCGGGAGUUAUCCAGGUAAAUAAGCUUGGGAGGACACUCCUAGAGUAAGGCAUGAAAGGGAAUUAUUCUACACCUAAAGAAUUUAAGUAUCUGGUUUAAGUAAUGGAACAGAAGCCCAAUUUAACAUAGUGAACUGGGUACUCUCCCCAGAGCCAUUGUUCCCCUAUUUGGGUAACCCAUAUCCUAGAAGCUUGGAACACAGUCCUGUGAACCCUCAGAAUUUAUGCCCUCCUGUGUCAUUUUUUUCCCAAAAUCUUAAGGACCAUCAACAUGUUCUUACGUGUACAACAGGAGAACUCUUCUAAGAAAGUAAAUGGUAUAAAGUUAUAAAUACCAACGCAACCGUACUUCUUAGUCGGGUAUAUCUCCCUGUUGAGAAGAAAGAAUGAAACCUUUGUAGUCAUGCCCCAGAUAUUUGCCUGAUGUUAGUUUAGUUUUCUAUAAAGAUGGUAAGAAGAGGAAAAUUCCCAGGAAAAGACUAUUACAAACAGUUGUAUGUCUCCAGUGACUUUUGAACAACUAGUUCUGAAAGGGAGUGUGCACAUAACAUCAUAGGAUUGAACACACGGAACUUUGUGUUGCAAAGUUCCACCAUCUAGUUUACAGUAGUAUUAGUGCUUUCACCUUAUAACACCCCAGCCUUAGUUGGAACUCAUUAUUGGGAAUGUCUUCGGACUGAAGUAACAAUACCUCAGGACAGUUAUGCUACUGGUUCAUAGUGUGUAGGUGUGCAUGUGUGUGCUUGUGUUUGUGUGUGUGUGUGUGUGUGUGUGUGUGUGUGUGUGUGUGUGUGUGUGUGUGAUCAUAGAGCACAUACCCAUCACUUUUGUACCAGUGGAAAGGGCACUUAGAAAGAGGAGUACUCAUCAAUUUCCCCCACUUAACAACCCAGUUAUAUUUAGAGGGAAUCACCAUAUCAUAUUACAAAUAACCUCCGAUGUGGAGACUCCACAUUACAAAUUUACAACAAUGGAAUCUGAUUUUCAGCAUUUCUUGACCAUCAUUACCUCUCAAUUUUCCUGUAUUAAAACCCUCCCUUUUAUUUAUGGAACAAGUUGGUUUACAAGCCUCAUUUGCUUUAAUGACCUCCAUAGAUUAUGGGUUCAAUAAUAUCAUUGUCUUGUUUACAAAUUAUACAAUUAAUGAUCUCACUGUUAAAGCGUGUUAUCCAAUUAUACGGGGUUAUAGAAGAAGACCUUUUAUACUAGUCUAUUUGGACUCCAAGCCAUAUGAAACCUUUGCCCUAUAGUAAACUAUCUCUAGCAACUUCAACAGUAAGGUAAAAAUGAAUUCACUUUUGAGGAAGAUAAUUUUCUAGAAAUCUCUCAGGGAUGGAAAGAAUUAAUUAUGAACCCAAUUCCCUCAAUAUCUAAGCACUUUGAAAUGAGUUCCCUGGAAGUUAUUUUUGUUCUCUGGGGUCCCAUUUAGUACCAGAAGGAAUGAUCCUUUAAAAGUCUCUUACUUCACUAAACUACUAGUCUGCUUUCAAAAAAAAAAAAAAAAGAGCAAAUAUUCCAUGUUCUCAAAGAUGAAUUAAAUCUUUAGGUAAUUUAAAAAAGACAGUAAUAUAAUUCUUAAAGGGUUAUUGGAAUUAAAUGCAAUCUUAUUUUUUUUCUCCUUAACUUCCAG
rnacentral:lncRNA from 1 species